GUGCCAGCCGCCGCGGUAAUACGUAGGGUGCGAGCGUUAAUCGGAAUUACUGGGCGUAAAGCGUGCGCAGGCGGUUUCGUAAGACAGGUGUGAAAGCCCCGGGCUUAACCUGGGAAUUGCGCUUGUGACUGCGAGGCUGGAGUGCGGCAGAGGGAGGUGGAAUUCCACGUGUAGCAGUGAAAUGCGUAGAGAUGUGGAGGAACACCGAUGGCGAAGGCAGCCUCCUGGGCUAGCACUGACGCUCAUGCACGAAAGCGUGGGGAGCAAACAGGAUUAGAAACCCCCGUAGUCC
rnacentral:rRNA from 1 species